UAGCGGUCAUAUCAAACUGAAACAUCAGUUCUUAUUUGAUAACCAAAGUUAAGCAACAUUGAGUCUGGUCAGUGCCUUAAUGAGUGACCGCUUGGGAAUACUAGGUGCUGUAAG